GAUGAACGCUAGCGGGAGGCCUAACACAUGCAAGCCGAGCGGUAGAGUCUCUUCGGAGACUUGAGAGCGGCGCACGGGUGCGGAACACGUGUGCAACCUGCCUUUAUCUGGGGGAUAGCCUUUCGAAGGGAAGAUUAAUACCCCAUAAUAUACUGGAUUUCAUCCUCUGGUAUUGAAAACUCCGGUGGAUAGAGAUGGGCACGCGCAAGAUUAGCUAGUUGGUGAGGUAACGGCUCACCAAGUCAGCGAUCUUUAGGGGGCCUGAGAGGGUGAUCCCCCACACUGGUACUGAGACACGGACCAGACUCCUACGGGAGGCAGCAGUGAGGAAUAUUGGACAAUGGGUGAGAGCCUGAUCCAGCCAUCCCGCGUGAAGGACGACGGCCCUAUGGGUUGUAAACUUCUUUUGUAUAGGGAUAAACCUAGAUACGUGUAUCUAGCUGAAGGUACUAUACGAAUAAGCACCGGCUAACUCCGUG
rnacentral:rRNA from 1 species